rnacentral:tRNA from 1 species
GCCAAUGUGGUGUAGUGGUUUGGGUGAUGGACUAUGACUCUGGAGACCAAGGUUCAAAUCCCUGCUUGGCCA